AGUCUUGAGGUGUUUGCACAACAGAUUGCAAGUCUGUAGGAGCAGGUUAGACUCUUGCCGGGACUU
rnacentral:tRNA from 1 species